GAUCAUGGCACAGGACGAACGCUGGCGGCAUGCCUAACACAUGCAAGUCGAACGGGGGUAGCAAUACCCUAGUGGCAAACGGGUGAGUAACACAUAAGCAAUCUGCCCUUCACAGGGGGAUAACAGCGGGAAACUGCUGCUAAUACCGCAUAAGACCACAGUACCGCAUGGUACAGGGGUAAAAACGAAUCAGUGGUGAAGGAUGAGCUUAUGUCCCAUUAGCUAGUUGGUGAGAUAACAGCCCACCAAGGCGACGAUGGGUAGCCGACCUGAGAGGGUGAUCGGUCACACUGGAACUGAGACACGGUCCAGACUCCUACGGGAGGCAGCAGGUGGGGAAUAUUGGGCAAUGGAGGAAACUUCCUUACCCAGCAAUGCCGCGUGAGUGAAGAAGGUCUUCGGAUUGUAAAGCUCUUUGAUUGGGGACGAAGAAAGUGACGGUACCCAAAGAACAAGCCACGGCUAACUACGUGCCAGCAGCCGC
rnacentral:rRNA from 1 species